GCCUGCUGGGCACUGCCCUUUCUGAGCAUUGGGGACUGCCAGGGUGAAUCAGCAUUCAGGCUGGUGGGGCCAGCAUGGGGUGGGGCUAAUGCACAGGGGGCUGUAUGUGGGUGGAGGGAUCCAGAAAGAGUGUCCAGGGGAGCACCAGCAUUCACCAGGGCCCCACCAGGUGGGCAAAAGCAAGGGCUUCCGAGGUGGGGGUGGGGGUGGGCAGGAUCCUCUGCAAGGUGUCUGCGUGCGCCUGGGGCUCCUGGUGACUUCCCACGCCAGCAGGAGGAACAGUUUGGGGUGUGCUGAGGGACCCACCUGUGGACUUGCUGGGCUUUGAGAGGAACCAAGGCUGGGUGGCGGCGGGCAGGACAGGGGAAGAGGGUUCCGGGGCACAGAGGGCCAGACAGAUGCACCCAGCAGCUGGCAGCUCUGGCUGGAGAGGGGAAGAGGGCAGUGAGAAGCACGGCUGGCCCAUGGUACCUCCUGCCCCUCUGCCCUGCCCGCCUUCCCUCUGCCCUGCCCACCUUCCCUCUGCCCUGCCCGCCUUCCCUCUGCCUCUUCCCCUCUGGCCCGUGCUAUUUACUGUGUAUUGUUAAGUGAACUUGGAAGCCGUUUUUAAAACCUGCUCUCCACUAGGUAAGGUAUAAAAAAGACCAUCUGCAGACAGGGAGACCAUUUUUGCAACUUAAACGGUGGCUGUUCAGGGCCUCCCCCAGCAGCCCUGCCCCCGCACCUGCUCCCACUUGCUUCCCGCCCCGCUCCAACCUGCUUGUUGAAGAAGAGGCCAUGGGAGUUUCCAGAGUCCCCGAUUAAAGUGCAGGUGUCCUUGGGGACCUCAUCAGCCCAGGCACAGCCGCAGCAAGGCCUAGGACAUGCCCAGCUCGGGACGGCCCAGCCAGUCAGAUGGGGAGCUGGCUGUUUCUCAGCAAGACCCGUGCUGUUCUCCAUGACCAGAGAACCAAUCCACAACACCCGAACCCAGCCCAGGGCCCCUGGGAUCACAGGCAACAUAGCAGCCUCGCUUAGCAGGUUGUAAGCUCUCUCCUCCGAAGGCCAUUCCCAGGAUCUAAAGUCCUCAUUUCCUGGCUUGAAGUUAACCCUUGAGGUCCUAAUGUUGGAGAGAGGAAAAGCCUCCCCCAUGUUGAUCCAAACGGCUUGGCCAGACAUGGAUCUCUCUCAGAAGAACCCACGACCAAGGACGCUGGCACGUUCCUGGUGAGGUUCUCCACGAAGAGGUGCAGUGUGAAGUGGCCUGUCACAGAAUAAGAGUCCUAAAGCUUACGUUCCCAUAAAAGCCCCUGGCCUGGGAAGCAAACACAGACCGGGAGGCCCCUGCCUGGCCUGGGCAGCUCACACAGACUGGGAAGCACUUAAAAGCUGGAGGCCCCUGGAGCUGCUGGUCCACAGGGAGGUGAAGCUGCACUCCUGCCCUAGGGUCUUCCAGGGUGCCUGCUGUGGAGGUUGCUGGAGACGAGCCCACCACUCUAGGGUCCGGGCACCUGGAACACAGCAGGCACUCGGGCGCUUCCAGUCCAGGAGAGGCACCUCCCAGACGGCAGUCUUCUCUGAUUGCUUUCUGGAGUUUGAGUGCGGAGGAGGACGAGGUGAGGGAGGCAGCCGAGCUGUGUCCUGAUGCAUCUUCCAGAGGCACUCUGGGUGGACGCUGGGCCCCUUGGCCUUGCCAGGCUGGGGUCUCCCUUCACAGAGCCCAUGCUUGUGGGCCCCACAGCCAGACUAGCACCUUUCUGUCAACACAGCCAUGGACACCAUGAGAAACUCCCACAGUUAAACACUGCCCAGAGCCCCAGGCCACCUCCUGGGGUGUCAUUUUGUAAGGUACCUCACCAACCUCAUGAGAAGUCUUUGCUGUAGGGACUUAUUUAUUUUAAAUGAAUCAGGGUCUUGCUCUGUCGUGCAGGCUGGAGUGCAGUGGCACAAUCAUGGCUCACUGCAGCCUCAAAAACUCCUGGGAUUAAGCAAUCCUCCCACCUCAGCCUCCUGAGUAUCUGGUGGUGUUAGCCACCACAUCUGGCAGAUUUUUUACUUUUAGUAGAGACGGAAUCUCGCCAUGUUGCCUAGGCUGGUGUAGAACUCCUGGACUCGAGUGAUCCUCCCACUUCAGCCUUCCAAAGUGCUAGGAUUAUAGGCUUGAGCCACCAUGCCCUGCUUGUGGGUUUAUUUUUUAAUCUGACAGUUUUGCCAAACCUCAUACUAGAAGGCGGGGCUUCUGUUUGCUAAAAACACCAUGAUAUUUCAUCAUUAAACCAGUUGUUAUCCACAUCUGGGAUACUUGGAGAAAACCCUCUCAGGGUAUAUUCACAUUUCACGCCCAGCUUGCAAAGGCACCUUCAUGCCUUCUGCUCCCCGACCCUGACCUCCCACUCACCUAACGAGCAGGAGCUAGCCUGUGUCCAGAGCGGGGCGGGCGGUGGGGAGGGGGUAGGUAGGAAAGGUCCUGUGCUGCUCCCUCCAGGCAGAGACUCCUAGGGGAGACAGUGUGGUGGCCUGGGGCCCAGGGGCCUCCCUGCAAACUCUUUCCCCUCAAACCCUCCUCCUGGUGGGUGUGGCUAUGCAUUUGUCCCGACCCCUCCACAUGCAGAACCUGGCAUGAGCCCUGGGGCGUGGGGACAGACACGGAGUCCAGGUGACCUCAGGGUUGUCCUGAGCUGAGGUGUAGACCCCAGGCAGACCCACAGACAGAGUGGGGCUCUCCGAGGUGUGGUUGGAGGGCCGAGAGCAGAGCCCUGUGCUGGAUCUAGGGAGGCACUGGUGUGUCAGCAGGUGCAGCAGCGUGCAGCUGGGCUGGGCUGCGGGGCUCCUGUCCUUGCCCUCCUCCAGUGGCCAGGAGAGGCCAGGUGUUCGUGCUGUCCCCCACAGGAUGCCUGAGGGAGGAGGUGCAGGAAGGAGCAGGAUCCCCUGGGCUAGGGCUGGAGGGCGCUGGAGGCUGUCGCCUGCGUUCUCCCAGGUGCACAGAAAUGAACACCUUCUGGCUGAGAAAGGCUGACUGGGGGGCCUCUGGGCAGCCUGGGGCCUGAGGGGAGCAGAGCUUGCUGGGAGGGCCUCAUUCCUUCCCGGGUGGAGGGAGCAGCCAGGCAGCACCCUGACAGCUCCAGCCCUGGAUGGAGAGCAGCCCCCACACUGGGCUCCAGCCCUGAGGGGUCUCCCCAGCCUCCUGACCCCACGGAGGAACUGGUGAGUGUAGUGGGUGCAGGGCCAGCUUCCAACAGUGACAAGGGGGACCUGAGCCCAGCUGCCCCCAAGGCCUGGCCAGCACUUGGGGAAGUCCGGCAGGGUGUCCUUGAGGUCACGUGAACUCCGCUUCUGGCCUCACGCCCCAAGGCCCACGCCGGGUUCUGCGCUGUGUGUCCUGAGACCCGGACCGAGCGCAUGGGGCCUGAACGGCACCUUCCCUGGCCGGCUGCCCACGGACGUUUGUGGGCUUGGCCCUCCUGUUUUGGGCUCACUUGGGGUGCAGGACUCAGGGAUCCACACAGGAGAUGAGCCAGGCUUCCUUGAGGGAGCCAGGAGGGCCGGAGUUUUGGCCGAUUGCUUUCUCAGCCUGAGACGUUGCCCUGUAAUGCUAACCCUGUUGCCAUGGCCUGGCGUGGGACCUCCAGGGCCGGGCAGCUGCUUCCCUCAAUGAGAGCCCCCGAGCCCCUGCAGGCGGCUCCGUGGUGCGCCCCCUCACCCCCGCAUGAGCCCCCC
rnacentral:lncRNA from 1 species